rnacentral:rRNA from 1 species
AGCCUGAUGCAGCGACGCCGCGUGAGGGAUGACGGCCUUCGGGUUGUAAACCUCUUUCAGCAUCGACGAAGCGCAAGUGACGGUAGAUGCAGAAGAAGGACCGGCCAACUACGUGCCAGCAGCCGCGGUAAUACGUAGGGUCCGAGCGUUGUCCGGAAUUACUGGGCGUAAAGAGCUCGUAGGUGGUUUGUCGCGUUGUCCGUGAAAACUCACAGCUCAACUGUGGGCGUGCGGGCGAUACGGGCAGACUGGAGUACUGCAGGGGAGACUGGAAUUCCUGGUGUAGCGGUGGAAUGCGCAGAUAUCAGGAGGAACACCGGUGGCGAAGGCGGGUCUCUGGGCAGUAACUGACGCUGAGGAGCGAAAGCGUGGGGAGCGAACAGGAUUAGAUACCCUGGUAGUCCACGCCGUAAACGGUGGGUACUAGGUGUGGGUUUCCUUCCUUGGGAUCCGUGCCGUAGCUAACGCAUUAAGCGCCCCGCCUGGGGAGUACGGCCGCAG